AUUGAACGCUGGCGGCAUGCCUUACACAUGCAAGUCGAACGGCAGCACGGGUGCUUGCACCUGGUGGCGAGUGGCGAACGGGUGAGUAAUACAUCGGAACAUGUCCUGUAGUGGGGGAUAGCCCGGCGAAAGCCGGAUUAAUACCGCAUACGAACUACGGAUGAAAGCGGGGGACCUUCGGGCCUCGCGCUAUAGGGGUGGCCGAUGGCUGAUUAGCUAGUUGGUGGGGUAAAGGCCUACCAAGGCGACGAUCAGUAGCUGGUCUGAGAGGACGACCAGCCACACUGGGACUGAGACACGGCCCAGACUCCUACGGGAGGCAGCAGUGGGGAAUUUUGGACAAUGGGCGAAAGCCUGAUCCAGCAAUGCCGCGUGUGUGAAGAAGGCCUUCGGGUUGUAAAGCACUUUUGUCCGGAAAGAAAUCCUUGGCCCUAAUACGGUCGGGGGAUGACGGUACCGGAAGAAUAAGCACCGGCUAACUACGUG
rnacentral:rRNA from 1 species